rnacentral:rRNA from 1 species
UAAGCGACUAAGCGUACACGGUGGAUGCCCUGGCAGUCAGAGGCGAUGAAGGACGUGCUAAUCUGCGAUAAGCGUCGGUAAGGUGAUAUGAACCGUUAUAACCGGCGAUUUCCGAAUGGGGAAACCCAGUGUGUUUCGACACACUAUCAUUAACUGAAUCCAUAGGUUAAUGAGGCGAACCGGGGGAACUGAAACAUCUAAGUACCCCGAGGAAAAGAAAUCAACCGAGAUUCCCCCAGUAGCGGCGAGCGAACGGGGAGCAGCCCAGAGCCUGAAUCAGUGUGUGUGUUAGUGGAAGCGUCUGGAAAGGCGCGCGAUACAGGGUGACAGCCCCGUACACAAAAAUGCACAUGCUGUGAGCUCGAUGAGUAGGGCGGGACACGUGGUAUCCUGUCUGAAUAUGGGGGGACCAUCCUCCAAGGCUAAGUACUCCUGACUGACCGAUAGUGAACCAGUACCGUGAGGGAAAGGCGAAAAGAACCCCGGCGAGGGGAGUGAAAAAGAACCUGAAACCGUGUACGUACAAGCAGUGGGAGCACAGAGCAAUCUGUGUGACUGCGUACCUUUUGUAUAAUGGGUCAGCGACUUAUAUUCUGUAGCAAGGUUAACCGAAUAGGGGAGCCGAAGGGAAACCGAGUCUUAACUGGGCGUUAAGUUGCAGGGUAUAGACCCGAAACCCGGUGAUCUAGCCAUGGGCAGGUUGAAGGUUGGGUAACACUAACUGGAGGACCGAACCGACUAAUGUUGAAAAAUUAGCGGAUGACUUGUGGCUGGGGGUGAAAGGCCAAUCAAACCGGGAGAUAGCUGGUUCUCCCCGAAAGCUAUUUAGGUAGCGCCUCGUGAAUUCAUCUCCGGGGGUAGAGCACUGUUUCGGCAAGGGGGUCAUCCCGACUUACCAACCCGAUGCAAACUGCGAAUACCGGAGAAUGUUAUCACGGGAGACACACGGCGGGUGCUAACGUCCGUCGUGAAGAGGGAAACAACCCAGACCGCCAGCUAAGGUCCCAAAGUCAUGGUUAAGUGGGAAACGAUGUGGGAAGGCCCAGACAGCCAGGAUGUUGGCUUAGAAGCAGCCAUCAUUUAAAGAAAGCGUAAUAGCUCACUGGUCGAGUCGGCCUGCGCGGAAGAUGUAACGGGGCUAAACCAUGCACCGAAGCUGCGGCAGCGACGCUUAUGCGUUGUUGGGUAGGGGAGCGUUCUGUAAGCCUGCGAAGGUGUGCUGUGAGGCAUGCUGGAGGUAUCAGAAGUGCGAAUGCUGACAUAAGUAACGAUAAAGCGGGUGAAAAGCCCGCUCGCCGGAAGACCAAGGGUUCCUGUCCAACGUUAAUCGGGGCAGGGUGAGUCGACCCCUAAGGCGAGGCCGAAAGGCGUAGUCGAUGGGAAACAGGUUAAUAUUCCUGUACUUGGUGUUACUGCGAAGGGGGGACGGAGAAGGCUAUGUUGGCCGGGCGACGGUUGUCCCGGUUUAAGCGUGUAGGCUGGUUUUCCAGGCAAAUCCGGAAAAUCAAGGCUGAGGCGUGAUGACGAGGCACUACGGUGCUGAAGCAACAAAUGCCCUGCUUCCAGGAAAAGCCUCUAAGCAUCAGGUAACAUCAAAUCGUACCCCAAACCGACACAGGUGGUCAGGUAGAGAAUACCAAGGCGCUUGAGAGAACUCGGGUGAAGGAACUAGGCAAAAUGGUGCCGUAACUUCGGGAGAAGGCACGCUGAUAUGUAGGUGAAGUCCCUCGCGGAUGGAGCUGAAAUCAGUCGAAGAUACCAGCUGGCUGCAACUGUUUAUUAAAAACACAGCACUGUGCAAACACGAAAGUGGACGUAUACGGUGUGACGCCUGCCCGGUGCCGGAAGGUUAAUUGAUGGGGUUAGCGCAAGCGAAGCUCUUGAUCGAAGCCCCGGUAAACGGCGGCCGUAACUAUAACGGUCCUAAGGUAGCGAAAUUCCUUGUCGGGUAAGUUCCGACCUGCACGAAUGGCGUAAUGAUGGCCAGGCUGUCUCCACCCGAGACUCAGUGAAAUUGAACUCGCUGUGAAGAUGCAGUGUACCCGCGGCAAGACGGAAAGACCCCGUGAACCUUUACUAUAGCUUGACACUGAACAUUGAGCCUUGAUGUGUAGGAUAGGUGGGAGGCUUUGAAGUGUGGACGCCAGUCUGCAUGGAGCCGACCUUGAAAUACCACCCUUUAAUGUUUGAUGUUCUAACGUGGACCCGUAAUCCGGGUUGCGGACAGUGUCUGGUGGGUAGUUUGACUGGGGCGGUCUCCUCCUAAAGAGUAACGGAGGAGCACGAAGGUUGGCUAAUCCUGGUCGGACAUCAGGAGGUUAGUGCAAUGGCAUAAGCCAGCUUGACUGCGAGCGUGACGGCGCGAGCAGGUGCGAAAGCAGGUCAUAGUGAUCCGGUGGUUCUGAAUGGAAGGGCCAUCGCUCAACGGAUAAAAGGUACUCCGGGGAUAACAGGCUGAUACCGCCCAAGAGUUCAUAUCGACGGCGGUGUUUGGCACCUCGAUGUCGGCUCAUCACAUCCUGGGGCUGAAGUAGGUCCCAAGGGUAUGGCUGUUCGCCAUUUAAAGUGGUACGCGAGCUGGGUUUAGAACGUCGUGAGACAGUUCGGUCCCUAUCUGCCGUGGGCGCUGGAGAAUGAGGGGGGCUGCUCCUAGUACGAGAGGACCGGAGUGGACGCAUCACUGGUGUUCGGGUUGUCAUGCCAAUGGCACUGCCCGGUAGCUAAAUGCGGAAGAGAUAAGUGCUGAAAGCAUCUAAGCACGAAACUUGCCCCGAGAUGAGUUCUCCCUGACUCCUUGAGAGUCCUGAAGGAACGUUGAAGACGACGACGUUGAUAGGCCGGGUGUGUAAGCGCAGCGAUGCGUUGAGCUAACCGGUACUAAUGAACCGUGAGGCUUAACCU